GGACCCGCACAAGCGGUGGAGCAUGUGGUUUAAUUCGAAGCAACGCGAAGAACCUUACCAGGUCUUGACAUCCUUUGACCACUCUAGAGAUAGAGCUUUCCCUUCGGGGACAAAGUGACAGGUGGUGCAUGGUUGUCGUCAGCUCGUGUCGUGAGAUGUUGGGUUAAGUCCCGCAACGAGCGCAACCCUUAUUACUAGUUGCCAGCAUUUAGUUGGGCACUCUAGUGAGACUGCCGGUGACAAACCGGAGGAAGGUGGGGAUGACGUCAAAUCAUCAUGCCCCUUAUGACCUGGGCUACACACGUGCUACAAUGGAUGGUACAACGAGUCGCAAGGUCGCGAGGCCAAGCUAAUCUCUUAAAACUAUUCUCAGUUCGGAUUGUAGGCUGCAACUCGUCUACAUGAAGCCGGAAUCGCUAGUAAUCGCGGAU
rnacentral:rRNA from 1 species